UAGUUCUAUUUAUUCACCAGAUGAAGGCUGGGCGCGUGGUACCUUGCUACCCUGGGCGAAGACAAAUAAUGUUGAUCCCGCAGUCAUUUUCCCAUGGCCCGCGUCGCUAAUUUUCAAUGCCUGUAGUUGCAGAGAUCGAUAUGAUGGGAUGUCUCGUCUCUUGAAUCGUAGGUGAAUCGUAGGAGAGCACUCACUUAUUUGCUUCCAUGGGAAUCAUCCGCAGCUGCCGGCCGGCCGUACCUCCCGCCGCCUACCUGCUAGUCAUGUACUUAUGAAAGCUCUGGCCGAUGGCGUAUCCCUUCCAUGUCUCGCAUUUUCCAGAUGACUAAGCUUCCGUACAUGGGUAAAUGGGUUGUACGAGAUGCCUCUACAUGGGCUGGAAGACGCACGUCACAUUGCAUCGCUCGCUGUCACAAAAAAUAAAGGAGUCCUGUUUUUACUUCGUCUUCUCCAUUCAUUAGCAUUAUUCCACUUCAUCUCCCUUGGUUCAACUCAUGGAAUAGAUCAGAAGAUAUUGAUGAUUUCCUCCUUCGCCUUCAUCUUCUCCACUCAAGACCAACCCUUAAAUAGUGGAGCUCCUCCUCCUAUCAAGAUCUCAACCACCAGCGAAAGGCAACGUGCUGGAUAGGAUGCCUCGGUUGGCCGGGCACAUCGCCUAAGUAGGACGAAUCGGGAAGCAGGAGCCCUCCCGUCACGGAGCCCCAUUUUAAUUCCCUCGCCGUAGCAGGUUCCUCCAGCACCACAGAACCCCGUAGCUGGCAUGUUGAUUAUUUUUCUCUGCCUCUCGUGGGUAUGUUUCAUGUACCUCACCACUUAAACUAAGGUUCAGUUUUAGUUGCAGUGAAUUGUAUUCUUUUUUCCCAGUAAUCGAGGUAGCACCAACAAAAAGGUUUCUUCCCUGAAAUUUAUGCUCACUGUAGAUUCAAUUAUAGUAAAUAAAGCAAGGUGUGCCUCCUCCUAUUUUUUCUAUGUAUAAUCAGGGUAUUUUUGGAUAUACAUUGCAUCUCCAUGGAUUACAAGCUGGAUCUCAGAGAUAAGGAGGCAUGCAUUUUUAUCGGUUGCCAAAUCAGCUCACCGACUCAGUGGCCUGGCCACACAGGCAAGCAUGUAGGAGUAGGACACAUCACGGCCACAACGACAGGUGUUAGAAAGGAAAUGCUCACUUCACUUCCACCACCGAGAGUGAGAUUCGGUUGCUGCUCGGGCUAGCUCGUCGGAAGCUAGCUCAGAUGUGUGCAUCCAUGGCUGCUCCGUCGUCCCACGGCGUCCCACCGCUGCUGCUAGCUGAUAUCGCUGGUGGUCGUUCCGCUGCUCGACGACAGCUUGUGAUGUGCCCGCGCGGCGGUCAACACAGGCAGACUGAGCCAGGCGGAGUUUCCCAAGGGGUUCGUAUUCGGGACGGCGACUUCGGCAUUCCAGGUCGAGUGCAUAGCCACCGAAGGCGGCAGCGGCGGCGAGCCCUCCAUCUGGGCCGCUUCGUCCACAUGCCUGGGAAUAUCGCGGAAAAUGCGGAUGCAAACAUGGCCACAUUCCACAGAUGAGUACCACCUCUAUAAGGAAGAUGUUGAUCUGCUGGAAAACCUGAAUUUCGAUGUUUAUCGGUUUUCAAUCUCAUGUUAGUAAGGAAGGUGUAGCGUAUUACAAGAAUCUGAUGGAGGCACAAGCAGCUGAUGGCGGCAGAGGCCCUGUCAGGGAAAGAUCCGGAGCGCCACAUUGGCGGCAGCCAGCGUUCAUGCCUUCGUGGGCUGUAGCUUGUAGUGGUGCUUGGUGGAGGCUUUUUUUGUCAGGACAGAGGACAACAGAGGACGAAGAAGCACUCUGUUGCAAAUGGUGGCGGUGGCUUACUGUCUGCUUAUAUUAUCCAGCUGAUAUGACACUUGUGGCUUCCUCAUGGAGUUUCCAGCAGAUCCAACAAUUUGUAAAAUUUUUGUUUCAUACAUAAGUAUAUUUUUUGGCAAAUUGAUAUUCAUUAUAUUCGUACACCUUAUCAUGUUAAAGCUAUCCAUACUAGAUAUAAAAUUAGUUAUUUUUUAGGCAACUAAAAUUAAUUCAAAGGAAAAGUUUAACAGCUUU